GUGCUUGCUUCAGCAGCACAUAUGCUAAAAUUGGAAUGAUACAGCAAAGAUUGGCAUGGCCCCUGCGCAAGGAUGACACGCAAAUUUGUGAAGCGUUCCGUAUUUUU
ensembl:snRNA U6 U6 spliceosomal RNA